AUGACAAGAGACAACCUGAGGAAAAGGCACAUCAUUCAACCUCUGGAUUGCGUCUUUUGCUCUGAACAGGAAACUAACACUCACUUGUUUUUUGAAUGUAUCGUAGCAAAAAAUAUUUGGUCGUUUGUGGCUGACCACUUUCAGGUCCGGAUGGGAAUAGACUAUGAAUCUGUAGCUAGAUUUUGGGUAUCUAAUAGAAAGAAUUCUGCUCUAAAUAUAGUUUCAUCGGCUGUCCUCUGAUGUUUGUGGAAGUAUAGGAACUCUAUUAUCUUUAACAACACCGUUUGGACAUCGAUCUUGCAGGUUUGGAGGCUGAUCCUCAGAACCCUCUAA
rnacentral:rRNA from 1 species